UUAGCUCGCCAGUGCGAGGCCUCUUCCUACACAAGAGGUAUUGGGGUGCGACUCCCCCGUCUAUCCUGAACGUCAUCAGGACCA
rfam:Calopogonium yellow vein tymovirus virion protein gene, complete cds.